UACGGGGGGGCAAGCGUUGUUCGGAAUUACUGGGCGUAAAGGGCUCGUAGGUGGCCAACUAAGUCAGACGUGAAAUCCCUCGGCUUAACCGGGGAACUGCGUCUGAUACUGGAUGGCUUGAGUGUGGGAGAGGGAUGCGGAAUUCCGGGUGUAGCGGUGGAAUGCGUAGAGAUCCGGAAGAACACCGGUGGCGAAGGCGGUCUGCUGGGGUAAUGCUGACACUGAUGAGCGACAGCGUGGGGAGCAAACAGG
rnacentral:rRNA from 1 species